rnacentral:rRNA from 1 species
AUGGGAAUGGCGCAUGUCCUCCUGGCGGCGGCGUUGGCCAUGGUGGCCGCCGCGGCGACGGGGAGCGCGUCGCCGGCCGAGGGGAUCCAGCCGCUGUCCAAGAUCGCCAUGAACAAGGCCACCGUUAACCUGCACGGCUCCGCGUACGUGCGGGCCACGCCGGCACUGCUCGGCGACCAGGAAGAAGACACCGUAUGGGUCACGGUGAAAUACGGCUGGGAAAACCCCUCCGCCGAUGACUGGAUCGCCGUCUUCUCCCCCGCCGAUUUCAUCUCGGGGUCGUGCCCUAACCCAUCGAGGUACCCCGGCGAGCCGCUGCUCUGCACGGCGCCCAUCAAGUAUCAGUACGCCAACUACUCGGCCAACUACCUCUACGGGGGCAAGGGCGCCAUCCGGUUCCAGCUCAUCAACCAGCGCUCCGACUUCUCUUUCGCCCUCUUCACCGGCGGCCUCGAAAACCCGGCGCUGGUGACGGUGUCGAAGCAGGUGGCGUUCAAGAACCCCAAGGCGCCGGUGUUCCCGCGCCUGGCGCAGGGCAAGACCCACGACGAGAUGGCCGUGACGUGGACCAGCGGCUACGACAUCGGCGAGGCCUACCCGUUCGUGGAGUGGGGCGUGGUCGCCUCCGGCGGCAACCCCACGCGCACGCCCGCCGGGACGCUCACCUUCACCCGCGGCAGCAUGUGCGGCGAGCCGGCGCGGACGGUUGGGUGGAGAGAUCCCGGGUUCAUCCACACGGCGUUCAUGAGGGGACUGUGGCCCAACAAAGAGUACUUGUACAAGAUUGGGCAUGAGCUCUCUGACGAAACGGUGGUGUGGGGCAGGUCCUACACUUUCCGGGCGCCGCCGACCCCCGGGCAGAACUCGCUGCAGCGCAUCAUCGUCUUCGGUGACAUGGGAAAGGCGGAGAGGGACGGGUCAAAUGAGUUUGCCAACUACCAGCCAGGGUCGCUUAACACAACGGACAAGCUUGUUGAAGAUUUGGACAACUAUGACAUCGUCUUCCACAUCGGCGACCUGCCCUACGCCAACGGGUACCUCUCCCAGUGGGACCAGUUCACCGCACAGGUCGCCCCCAUCAGCGCCAACAAGCCCUACAUGGUUGCAAGUGGCAACCACGAGAGAGACUGGCCCAGCACCGGCGGAUUCUUCGACGUCAAGGACUCCGGUGGCGAGUGCGGCGUGCCGGCCGAGACCAUGUACUACUACCCGGCCGAAAACAGAGCAAAUUUCUGGUACAAGGUGGACUACGGGAUGUUCCGGUUCUGCGUGGCGGACUCGGAGCACGACUGGCGGGAGGGGACUCCGCAGUACAAGUUCAUCGAGGAGUGCCUCUCCACGGUGGACCGGAAGCACCAGCCGUGGCUCAUCUUCGCGGCGCACCGGGUGCUGGGUUACUCCUCCAACUCGUGGUACGCCGACCAGGGCUCGUUCGAGGAGCCCGAGGGCCGGGAGAGCCUGCAGAAGCUGUGGCAGCGGCACCGCGUCGACAUUGCCUUCUUCGGCCACGUCCACAACUACGAGCGUACUUGCCCGCUCUAUCAGAGCCAGUGCGUCACCAGCGAGCGGAGCAACUACUCGGGCACCAUGAACGGGACCAUCUUUGUCGUGGCAGGCGGCGGCGGCAGCCACCUCUCGGGCUACACCAGCGCGACCCCCAAGUGGAGUGUGUUCAGGGAUAAAGACUACGGGUUCACCAAGCUCACUGCCUUCAACCACUCGUCGCUUUUGUUCGAGUACAAGAAGAGCAGCGACGGCAAGGUGUAUGACUCCUUCACCAUCCAUAGGGACUACCGCGACGUGCUCGGAUGCGUGCAUGACAGUUGCUUCCCCACCACACUUGCUACCUAA